CAGCGACGCCGCGCGAGGGAUGACGGCCUUCGGGUUGUAAACCUCUUUCAGCAGGGAAGAAGCCACAAGUGACGGUACCUGCAGAAGAAGCGCCGGCUAACUACGUGCCAGCAGCCGCGGUAAUACGUAGGGCGCAAGCGUUGUCCGGAAUUAUUGGGCGUAAAGAGCUCGUAGGCGGUUUGUCGCGUCUGCUGUGAAAGCCCGGGGCUUAACCCCGGGUGUGCAGUGGGUACGGGCAGACUAGAGUGCAGUAGGGGAGACUGGAAUUCCUGGUGUAGCGGUGGAAUGCGCAGAUAUCAGGAGGAACACCGAUGGCGAAGGCAGGUCUCUGGGCUGUUACUGACGCUGAGGAGCGAAAGCAUGGGGAGCGAACAGGAUUAGAUACCCUGGUAGUCCAUGCCGUAAACGUUGGGCACUAGGUGUGGGGGACAUUCCACGUUUUCCGCGCCGUAGCUAACGCAUUAAGUGCCCCGCCUGGGGAGUACGGCCGCAAGGCUAAAACUCAAAGGAAUUGACGGGGGCCCGCACAAGCGGCGGAGCAUGCGGAUUAAUUCGAUGCAACGCGAAGAACCUUACCAAGGCUUGACAUAUACCGGAUCGUUCCAGAGAUGGUUCUUCCCCUUUGGGGUCGGUAUACAGGUGGUGCAUGGUUGUCGUCAGCUCGUGUCGUGAGAUGUUGGGUUAAGUCCCGCAACGAGCGCAACCCUCGUUCCAUGUUGCCAGCACGUGAUGGUGGGGACUCAUGGGAGACUGCCGGGGUCAACUCGGAGGAAGGUGGGGAUGACGUCAAAUCAUCAUGCCCCUUAUGUCUUGGGCUUCACGCAUGCUACAAUGGCCGGUACAA
rnacentral:rRNA from 1 species